rnacentral:rRNA from 1 species
GACGAACGCUGGCGGCGUGCUUAAUACAUGCAAGUCGAACGGACAGGCGCUUUCCUUUCUGGCUGGAGCGGAGGAGUGGCGAAGCGGUGAGUAACACGUCAGGAACCUGCCCUCCUCUGCUGGAUAACCGCAUGAAAGUGUGGGUUAUAUAGGACAUCCUGAUUCUGUUUCUUGAUGGGUCUGGGAAAGAUAUUGUCUCUGUCGGCGCUGGGCUUGCGGCCUAUCAGGUGGUUGGUGGGGUGAUGGCCUACGAAUGAGGUGACAGGUGGCCGGUGUGAGAGAGUGGCCGCUCACACUGGGAGUGAGACACCAGCCAGAUUCGUGCGGGAGGCGGCAGGGGGGAAUAGUGCAAGAUGGGAGCAAGCCUGAUGCAGCGACGCUGCGUGAGGGAUGGAUGCCGUCGGGUUGUGAACCUCGUACGCGAAGGAAGCGGGUGUGACUCGUUUGUGGGUGCGUUGACGGUAGCUGAAUAAGAAGCGACGGCUAACUACGUG